UGGACAACGAAUGAGGUGAUGCCACUUCCGCACAGCCAAGGAGGCUUGGGGUCAAGCAUCCAAAUGCCAGAUUCAGGAUUGGAAUGAACCUUCAGGACAUCUCGUUCACCCCUGUGCAAUGCCAGAGUCCCUGCUUAUCAUCUUUGCCAAGUGGCUGUCCAGCCUCCACUGAUGAAGUGCUCACUACUUCCUUAAGAAGCCAUUUUAUCCUGAGACAGCUCUAAGUUUUCCUAAGUCUAGAUCAGCAGUUCAACUCAAGAUGGUGUUUGAAGAACAUACAAACCCUGCCUUCCUUCAUCAAAUUUCAUGGAAAUAAUGGAAAGAUACAUCAAAAGAGUGUAUCCAUAUCAGCCUGAGAAAACUAGAAAUCAUGGCAUCAAUAGGUCAGAAAAAUCUGAAGAUAGAAGAAGCAGAUAGAAUCUGAUUUAUGGAGAAAACCAGAGUGGUUAAAUCAGCACAGGAGAAACUGGCUAAA
rnacentral:lncRNA from 1 species